rnacentral:lncRNA from 1 species
GAGGCGGGGCGACCAGCGGCGAGGCGCGGGGCGGGCAGCGGCGCAGGGCGCGGACCGGCGCGGGGAACGGCGAGGUCGACGAGCGGCGGGGGCGGAGCGAGGCGGGGCGAGCAGGGGCGCGGCGGAAACGGCGGCGUGGACGAGUCGCCGGGGGGGAGCACGCAGCGGGAGUCGCCGGAAAUGGGGAAUCGGAGGGGGGAAAUUUGGGAAUUUUGAGAAAUA